rnacentral:lncRNA from 1 species
GCCUUCUUAUGCUCCUGGAGAUACCGUUUUUGUGUGAAGGUCUUGUUACAAAUAUCACAUUCGUAACUAAGACCUUCAGCAACUUCGUGGGUUUUGCUAUGCCUCGAAAGACUGCUUCUGAAGCGGUAUGCUUUGCCGCAUAUCUUGCAAAUGUUGGAUUUUAUCCCUGUGUGCAUAUCCAUGUGGUCUUUCAGAUGGGAUGCACGACUAAAUGUAGCUUCACAUUGGGUACAUUUGUGAUCGCCUCCCUUGUCCUCAUACAGGCAGUGGUUCUUCAGAUAGGCAUCUGUUGCAAAUGACUUGCCACACGUUUUACAUAUGAAUGGCUUAUGGUUUUGGUGUUUUUCGCUUGCCAAAUGGGAAGUAAAGUUUGACUUGCUGAAAAAAAACAAGCUUGCAUUCAUUACAUGAAUAUGGCCCCUGUCCAUCAUGCCUCAUCUCAUGUUGUCGUAAACCACUUCGACCUUUAAAUUUCUUUCCACAGUGCUUGCACAAAUGUGACAUAUUCUAUAAA